rnacentral:lncRNA from 1 species
UCGCGAUUGUAAUGUAAAAUUUUCUUGAAAUUCCCAUGAAAAUGAUGGUUAAUUUGUACAUUGCCAAAACUUUGCUUCUAGUAAACUUCAAUAUUGAAAACCUAUGGAAGAAAUAAGAAAUUUUAGUUAGAAAAACUAUAUAUAACAAUGUAGACGGAACAAAAUCAGGGGUAGACAGAAGAUUAUAAAAAUAACAAAGAAAAAAGAAGCAACAGAAAGUUAAUUGCCUUACACCAUUGUUCCCUUUCAUCUUAUUAACUUAGAUUGGUUUGUCAUAAAUUUUUCACAGCCAAGUUCAUGAUACGUAUUGUCAGCUUAAGCCUAAUAGAUCUCACAAAUUUUCUCCAUGAACUACGCCAUCAUCGAGGCGAAAAACAUGCAUAGUAUGUGAUAUUCGCGUAAGAUAUCAUGUGCACUCAUUAUUCAGAAGCAUGUGGUAUUAUUUUAAUAUCUAAGCUACAGUAGAGGAAAAGAACAGCAGAUCUAGUAGGUAUGGAAAUUGACAAAAAGAACAGUAAAUUUAGUAGGUAUGAAAGUGCAUAAUUUGGGUGAUAGAGACCUCUCUAGAAAUAGACCAAAUGUAGCUCUAGCUUAGAGAAUGACUAAAAGAUGUCAAAAUAAAAAAGUAACAGUAGCAGAUGAACUACCAUUCACCUGUUUCUAUCCUUGCUUAUGAGAAGAGAACCUAAAAUAUAUAUUCAUAUACUUGAAUAUUCGUAGGCAUUUACUUUUUUUCUUGAUGUUUACAUUUUGAUGGUAAGCUAAAGUUUGGAAAAGGAAAACGUGUGUAUCUUUUGGUUAUUCUCUUGAUUGUUUAUUGGCAAUUUAGGAAUCAUCUUGCAUGGAAAUAACUAAAUAUUAUUAUAUGUUAUUGUAGUGGCAGACUUUAUUUCCUAGUUUGAGUUCAUCCAAUUUUAAACAAGAAAGUUCUCAAUGUGUCAAACAUAUCAAGUAUGAAACUGAAGCUGGUAUAUAUAGGUUGGGAGUUACCACAUAAGGCAUGAUAGAUGUAUUUGCUCUGAAUCUGCUACAUUAUCCAGCAGCAACAUUACGAACCAACUAUCAGACAUCUAAGCGGCCAAGGUCCUCCAUCCACUUCCA